rnacentral:rRNA from 1 species
CGUGCCAGCAGCCGCGGUAAUACGAAGGAUGCAAGCGUUAUCCGGAAUUACUGGGCGUAAAGGGCGUCUAGGCGGUUGAGCAAGUCACCUGUAAAAGUCCACGGCUUAACUGUGGAAUGUCUGGUGAUACUGUUUGACUUGAGUACAGGAGAGGAGGGUGGAACUCACAGAGUAGCGGUGGAAUGCGUAGAUACUGUGAGGUACCCCGAUGGCGAAGGCAACCCUCUGGCCUGUUACCGACGCUGAAGCGCGAAAGCGUGGGGAGCGAACGGGAUUAGAUACCCCCGUAGUCCACGCCGCAAACGAUGUUCACUGGGUGUCGGUCAUUAAUUACAUCUUUGCCGGAGUUAACGCAUUAAGUGAACCGCCUGGGGACUACGGCCGCAAGGCUAAUACUCAUAAGAAUUGACGGGGCCCUGCACAACCGGUGGAGCACGUGGUUUAAUUCGAUGAUAAGCGAAGAACCUUACCUGGGCUUGACAUGCUAGCAGUAGGAGCCAGAGAUGGUAACGACCCCUACUUUUGGUAGGGGAACUAGUACAGGUGAUGCAUGGCUGUCGUCACCUCGAGUCGUGGGACGUUGGGUUAAGUCCCGAAACGAGCGCAACCCCUGUUGUUAAUUGCCAGCGGGUAAUGCCGGGGACUCU